rnacentral:rRNA from 1 species
UACGUAGGCAGCAAGCGUUGUUCGGAGUUACUGGGCGUAAUGGGUGCGUAGGCGGCCCUGUAAGUAUGGUGUGAAAUCUCCCGGCUUAACCGGGAGGGUGCGCUAUAGACUGCGGGGCUAGAGUGUGGGAGAGGAAAGUGGAAUUCCUGGUGUAGCGGUGAAAUGCGUAGAUAUCAGGAGGAACACCGGCGGUGUAGACGGCUUUCUGGACCAUAACUGACGCUGAGGCACGAAAGCGUGGGUAGCAAACAGG